rnacentral:snoRNA from 1 species
GCGCGUAAAUAGGAUGAUAUUCAACUAUGGCAUAGUUCAACUGAUAAUGGACUUACUACCCAUUAAUGUUGAGAUAAUUUUUAUUCUUUCGCCCCUAUCUGAUUACGCAC